rnacentral:rRNA from 1 species
UACGUAGGGAGCAAGCGUUGUCCGGAAUCAUUGGGCGUAAAGAGCGCGUAGGUGGCCUCAUAAGUCCGUUGUGAAAGUCAAAGGCUCAACCUUUGAAAGCCGAUGGAUACUGUGAGACUAGAGUACGGAAGAGGCGAGUGGAAUUCCUGGUGUAGCGGUGGAAUGCGCAGAUAUCAGGAGGAACACCAAUAGCGAAGGCAGCUCGCUGGGACGUUACUGACACUGAGGCGCCAAAGCGCGGGGAGCAAACAGG